AGCGAACGCUGGCGGCAGGCCUAACACAUGCAAGUCGAGCGGCCGUAGCAAUACGGCAGCGGCAGACGGGAGAGUAACACGUGGGAACGCGCCCUUCGGUUCGGAAUAACUCAGGGAAACUUGAGCUAAUACCGGCUACGCCCUUCCGGGGAAAGAUUUAUUGCCGAAGGAACGGCCCGCGUCCGAUUAGCUUGUUGGUGAGGUAACGGCUCACCAAGGCGACGAUCGGUAGCUGGUCUGAGAGGAUGACCAGUCUCACUGGGACUGAGACACGGCCCAGACUCCUACGGGAGGCAGCAGUGGGGAAUAUUGGACAAUGGGCGCAAGCCUGAUCCAGCCAUGCCGCGUGGGUGAUGAAGGCCUUAGGGUUGUAAAGCCCUUUCAGCGGGGAAGAUAAUGACGGUACCCGCAGAAGAAGCCCCGGCUAACUUCGUGCCAGCAGCCGCGGUAACAC
rnacentral:rRNA from 1 species